AAGUCGUAACAAGGUUUCCGUAGGUGAACCUGCGAUCAUCGCCGAACAGUUUUGAUUCAGGGACCUCUGCAUGGAGUGGGCAGCAGCGCGAGGCAAGUGACCUGGCAUUCCUCUGCUUGUUGGUGUCUGAAAGUGUCACUAGCUCUGUAAGAAUGGCGGCGACCGGGUCGCUGGGCUCCUAUCACCUUUGCAUGAAAACGGGCCUGCGCUUAAUUGUGCGGCCACCAAACUCGAACAACUGUUAACAAUGGAUAUCUUGGUUCUC
rnacentral:misc_RNA from 1 species